GGGCCUAUAGCUCAGCUGGGAGAGCGUUCGGUUCGCAUCCGAGAGGUCAAGGGUUCGAAUCCCUCUAGAUUUGCCG
rnacentral:tRNA from 1 species